GGUAUGUCAGAUUUAGGAAGGACAUCUGAGCCCCUCUAGUGGAAUUAGAGAAAUUAUCCAGCAUGCCAUCAGCAUUCCUGGAGAAGAGCUUACUCUAGAUAAAUAUCAGAUAAAGCCAUUUGCGUUUGGGAGGACUGUCAGUUCCAAAAUUCUGUGAUCAAGUUUAUUUUUAAAUUGAAGUAUGAUUGAUUUACAACAUUGCAUUAGCUUCAGGUGUACAGUAUAGUGAGUCAGUUAUGUAUGUAUAUAUAAAUUUCUGUAAAUUGUAUUCCAUUUAGGUUAUUAUAAUAUAUUGAAAAUAAUUCCCUGUGCUAUGCAGUAAGUCCUUGUUGCUUAUCUAUUUUAUAUGUAGUAGUUUGUAUCUGUUAAUCCCAUGCUCCUAAUUUGUUCCUUCCCCUACCUUGCCUUUUGGUAACCUUAAGUUUGAUUUCUAUGUCUGUGAGUCUAUGUUUUAUAUGUAGAGUCAUUUGUAUGAUUUUUUUAGAUUCCACAUAUAAAUGAUAUCAUAUAGUAUUUGUUUUUCUCUGACUUAUUUCACUAAGUAUAAUAUUCUUCAGUUCCAUCCAUGUUGCUAAAAAUGGUAAUAUUUCAUUCUUUUUAUGGCUGAAUAAUAGUUCAUUGUUCGUAUAUAUAUAUAUAUAUAUAUACACACACACACACACCACACUCACACACUCACACACACACACACACAUCUUCUUAAGCCAAUCAUUUUUUGAUGGGCACUUAGGUUGUUUCCAUAUCUUGGCUAUUGUAAAUAGCACUGCUGUGAACAUUGGGUGCAUGUGUCUUUUAGAAUUAGAGUUUUUGUUUUUUCCAGAUAUACACCCAGAGAGGGGAUUGCAGGAUCAUUGGUAGCUCUAUAUUUAGUUUUUAAAGAAAACUCUAUACUCUUUUCCAUACCAAUUUACAUUCCUCUGAACGGUGUAGGAGGGUUUCCUUUUCUCUACAUCCUCUCCAGCAUUUGUUAUUCAUAGACUUAUUAAUGAUGGCCAUUCUGACUGGUGUGAGUUUUUAUUCACAUUUCUUCAAUAAAUAGCAAUGCUGAGCAUCCUUUCAUGUGCCUACUGGCCAUCUAUAUGUCUUCUUUGGAGAAAUAUCUAUUUAGGUCUUCUGCCUAUUUUUUGAUUGGGUCGUUUAUUUUUUUGGAUAUUGACUUCUAAGAGCUAUUUGAAUGUUUUGGAUAUUACCUCCUUGUCAGUCCCAUCAUUUGCAAAUAUUUUCUCCCAUUAUGUCGGGUUUUUGUUUUCUUGAUGGUUCCCUUUGCUCUGCAGAAGCUUUUAAGUUUGAUGAGGUUCCAUUUGUUUAUUUUUGUUUCUAUUUCUUUUGCCUUGGGGAACUGAUCUAAGAAAAUAUUGCUACAAGUUAUGUCAAAGAAUGUUUUGCCUGUGUGCUCUUCCAGGAGUUCAAUGGUGUCGUGCCUUACAUUUAAGGCUUUAAACCAUUUUGAGUUUAUGUUUAUAUAUAGAAUGAGGGAAUGUUCUAAUUUCAUUAUUUACAUGUACCUGUCCAGCUUUCCUAACACCACUUAUUGAAAAGACUGUCUUUUUUCCAUUGUAUAUUCUUUUUUGUUUUCUUUUUAUGGCUGCACCUGAGGCAUAUGGAAGUUCCUGAGCUAGGGAUCAAAUCAGAGCUGCAGCUGCAGGCCUGUGCCGUAGCCACAGCAACACCAGAUCCAAGUCACAUCUUUGACUUAUACCGCAUGUUGCAGCAACACUGGAUCCCUAACCCACUGAGCAAGGCCGGGGAUCGAACCCACAUCCUCUCGGAUGCCAUGUUGGGUUCUUAACCCGCUGAGCCACAAAUGGGAACUCCCCAUUGUAUAUUCUUGCCUCCUUUGUUGUAGAUUAAUUGACAGUAGGUGUAUGAGUUUAUUUCUGGGCUCUCUAUUCUAUCCCAUUGAUCUAUCUAUCUGUUUGUGAGCCAGUACCAUGUUGUUUUGAUUACUUUACCUUUGUAGUAUAGCCUGAAGUCUGGAAGAGUUACACCUCCAGCUUUUUUUCCCCCCUUAGGAUUGCUUUGGCAAUGCUUGGACUUUUGUGGUUCCCAGGCUAGGGGUCCAAUCGGAGCUGUAGCUGCUGGCCUACGCCAGAGCCACAGCAACACAGGAUCCGAGCUGCGUCUGCAACCUACACCACAGCUCAGGAUCCUUAACCCACUCAGCAAGGCCAGGGACCGAACCCACAACCUCAUGGUUCCUAGUCAUAUUCAUUAACCACUGAGCCACGACAGGAACUCCUGCAAUUUCCUUUAUUAAUGUUUAUAGUUUGCAGCAUAUAGGUCUUUCACCUCCUUGGUUGAGUUUAUUCCUAGGUACUUUUUUUUUUUGACACAAUUUUAAACAGGAUUUUUUUUUAAAACUUUCUGAUAUUUCAUUAUCAGUGUAAAAAAAAUGCAGUGGGUUUCCAUAUACUAAUCUUGUAUCCUACUACAUUGCUGAAUUCACUUAUCAAUUCCAAUAGUUUUUAUGUGGAGACUUUAGGGUUCUCCAUAUAGAAUAUCAUGUCAUGUGCAAAUAGUGACAGUCUAAGAAUCCAGUUUGAGGGGUUCCCAUCAUGGCUCAGCAAGUGGUUAAUGAACCCGGCUAGUAUCCAUGAGGACUCAGAUUCGAUCCCUGGCCUUGCUGCUCAGUGGGUUAAGGAUCUGGCAUUGCCGUGAGUUGUGGUGUAGGUCGCAGAUGAGGCUUGGAUCCCGCAUUGCUGUGGCUGUGGUGUAUGCCAGUGACUGGUCGCAUAAUUCAACCCCUAGCCUGGGAACCUCCAUAUGCCUAGGGUUCAGCCCUAAAAAAAAAAAAAAAAAA
rnacentral:lncRNA from 1 species